rnacentral:rRNA from 1 species
AGAGCGAACGCUGGCGGCAGGCCUAACACAUGCAAGUCGAGCGCCGUAGCAAUACGGAGCGGCAGACGGGAGAGUAACACGUGGGAACGUACCCUUCAGUUCGGAACAACCCAGGGAAACUUGGGCUAAUACCGAAUACGUCCGUAAGGAGAAAGAUUUAUCGCUGAAGGAUCGGCCCGCGUCUGAUUAGCUUGUUGGUGAGGUAAUGGCUCACCAAGGCUACGAUCAGUAGCUGGUCUGAGAGGAUGAUCAGCCUCACUGGGACUGAGACACGGCCCAGACUCCUACGGGAGGCAGCAGUGGGGAAUAUUGGACAAUGGGCGCAAGCCUGAUCCAGCCAUGCCGCGUGGGUGAUGAAGGCCCUAGGGUUGUAAAGCCCUUUCGGCGGGAAGAUAAUGACGGUACCCGCAGAAGAACGCCCGGCUAACUUCGUGCCAGCAGCCGC